UACGUAGGGGGCAAGCGUUGUCCGGAUUUAUUGGGCGUAAAGAGCGUGUAGGCGGCUUUACAGGUCCGUUGUGAAAACUCGAGGCUCAACCUCGAGACGCCGGUGGAAACCGUAAGGCUAGAGUCCGGAAGAGGAGAGUGGAAUUCCUGGUGUAGCGGUGAAAUGCGCAGAUAUCAGGAGGAACACCCGUGGCGAAAGCGGCGUCUCUGGGACGGUACUGA
rnacentral:rRNA from 1 species